rnacentral:rRNA from 1 species
UGGGGAAUAUUGCACAAUGGGCGCAAGCCUGAUGCAGCCAUGCCGCGUGCGUGAAGAAGGCCUUCGGGUUGUAAAGCACUUUCAGCGAGGAGGAAGGUGGUGGACUUAAUACGUUCAUCAAUUGACGUUACUCGCAGAAGAAGCACCGGCUAACUCCGUGCCAGCAGCCGCGGUAAUACGGAGGGUGCAAGCGUUAAUCGGAAUUACUGGGCGUAAAGCGCACGCAGGCGGUUUGUUAAGUCAGAUGUGAAAUCCCCGGGCUCAACCUGGGAACUGCAUUUGAAACUGGCAAGCUAGAGUCUCGUAGAGGGGGGUAGAAUUCCAGGUGUAGCGGUGAAAUGCGUAGAGAUCUGGAGGAAUACCGGUGGCGAAGGCGGCCCCCCUGGACGAAGACUGACGCUCAGGUGCGAAAGCGUGGGGAGCAAAACAGGAUUAGAUACCCUGGUAGUCCACGCUGUAAAACGAUGUCGAUUUGGAGGUUGUGCCCCUUGAGGCGUGGCUUCCGGAGCUAACGCGUUAAA